rnacentral:piRNA from 1 species
UUCUGAAAUCUUGAAUAUUGAACCUCUG